rnacentral:tRNA from 1 species
CGAGAAAGAUUGACAUGAUAAGUUCUGCUAAUACUUAAUCACCAUGGUUAAACUCCACGGCUUUUUCGC